GACGAACGCUGGCGGCGUGCCUAAUACAUGCAAGUCGAGCGCAGGAAACUGACGGAACUCUUCGGAGGGAAGGCAGUGGAAUGAGCGGCGGACGGGUGAGUAACACGUAAGGAACCUGCCUCAAGGAUUGGGAUAACUCCGAGAAAUCGGAGCUAAUACCGGAUAGUUCAACGGACCGCAUGGUCCGCUGAUGAAAGGCGCUCCGGCGUCACCUUGAGAUGGCCUUGCGGUGCAUUAGCUAGUUGGUGGGGUAACGGCCCACCAAGGCGACGAUGCAUAGCCGACCUGGGAGGGUGAUGGGGCACACUGGGACUGAGACACGGCCCAGACUCCUACGGGAGGCAGCAGUAGGGAAUCUUCCACAAUGGACGAAAGUCUGAUGGAGCAACGCCGCGUGAGUGAUGAAGGUUUUCGGAUCGUAAAACUCUGUUGUAAGGGAAGAACACGUACGAGAGGAAAUGCUCGUACCUUGACGGUACCUUACGAGAAAGCCACGGCUAACUACGUGCCAGCCGCCGCCGUAACAC
rnacentral:rRNA from 1 species